rnacentral:tRNA from 1 species
GUUGAGCCCUCAAUGGUAGAGCAUCUGCUUUUCAUACAGAAGGUCUCAGGUUCAAUCCCUGGUUGCAAUG